UCACUGUUCCUCUUGGAGACAUUAGCAUCUGGCAAUUUAAAUGUGGUCUUCAGCUUUAGAUAGAAGGCACACUGAAAAACGCAGACCUUCAGGAUCACUAAUCCAGGUGUCCUUGCCAAGGUUUCAGAUGUGCAUCAACAAGGACCAGUGGUGGAGCUCCAAUUAUACCCCACCUCCUUCGGAGAGAUGCUCCGGAAUCCUGUGUUGCCAGAGGAGACCUUUACAAUGUUCACAGAUCAGGACCAGUAGAGAAACAUCAGUCUCACCCCUGGGAUGGGCAUUUUCUUAUCCAUGUCUUCAGAGGAGGCCCAGAGAGCUAAGGGGAGAUGAGGGAAAGAAUGCCUAAAGAAUAAACUAGGUCACACUGGAUCACUUGCCGGCCAUUUCACUGGACAUGGACCGCUUGGGUUCUCUGCAGCUCUGAGGAUAUUGACUGUGCAAGAUGGAUACCCACUGGAUGUCUCUCCAGCCCUCUCCAGAGAUUGAGCUAACAACAAAACCUUGCCCCCAAUCCAACAAUGCCAUUCCCUUGAGGCUAAAUAUUACA